rnacentral:sRNA from 2 species
GUCGCAGGUUCGAAUCCUGCACGACCCACCAAUUUCAGCAUUUAACUCAGAUGCUGAACGUGAAGGAUAACGUUGCGUCAGCAACGGCCCGAAGGGCGAGGCAAAGCCGAGUCAUCCUGCACGACCUACCA